GUCCAGCUGAUUUCUGAGUACAUGUCAAAGCUAGUGGGAGCAUAAGUGUUAUGCUAAUAAUCAUCAUGUUAGUGGGAGCAUGAUAAUUAUGAUAAGUAUUGCAAGUUAGCAAUGUUAAUUAUAGAAAACAAAAGUUUCAAUUGGGAAAAAGUUGUUUUGCUAUAAUUAAGGGAGAGGAAAUUAUGCUUCAUCUCAAAUCUAUAAGCUUAGAUCGUGAGGUUUUAAUCAUUUAGUCAAGGAUAUAUAUGAAUUUCAUGUUGGAAUGGCUCAACAUAAGGAAAUUCUAUAUAUGGGUCCAUUAUUUGCGUUCUAAAAUUCGAUUAUGAUUACGGCAUCCCUUUUCAUAAUCUGAAUUAUGAGAACUUGGCAAAUUGAAAUGGAAAUAUUAUAGCAAAAGACUGGUUUAGUCUUUAUGUGAGACAUCAUGAAUCAUGUCCCAUAUGCUUCGGAUAUAGGGUCGAUUACAUGUGCUAUAAUAUUCAUCCUUUCUAAAAUUUUCCAAAUGCCUGGGGCAUUAAGAAAUGAAAAGGUUUAGAAUUGAAUAUGACUAAAGUGAUUAAGCAAUUGUCGAGGACAAUCUAAGGUUUUACCAAGGAUUGGUUGCUCAGGGUUAGUUGGAAGUAUGGUGUUAAUUUUGGAAGGACCAUAUUGACAUAUUCUGAAAAGAUGCAACUCUUGUUCAUAAGUGAUAGUCUAAAUGGGAAUAUGGGUGGAAGUUAUAUUUAUAAGAUUAGGAAACUUAAUGCAAGAAGAAUGUUCAAAGGCAAUGAACUUUGAAUAUGAUACUUCGGUUCCAUGGAGUUGAUCUCCUUUGGAAUGCUCUAUAAUGUUUGUUGUCAAGUCUUUGUGACUUUGUGCAUAAUCAUUACAAGAGGAUCAAUGCAUAUAAGUUUAGAAUCUAACAGAUUUCAGUAAAUGGCAUGAGUUUGGAAUUCUUGCAUUUGCAGCAAGGAAUUGGGAAUGUCAAAUUAGAAUCAUUGGAAUUAUGUUCAAUUGGUUUAUUUCACAAAGUAAGGAUCAUAGACAAACAGAGAGUGCAUAUUUAGUGUAUGGCAAAGCUAUUGUUUAGAAAAACAUAGUGUACAUGCUUGGAGCAUGGGACAACUAGUGUUUUUAAUUCAAGUACAAAGUUGAUAAAACCGAAAGAAUGAAUAAUGAGUAAUCAGUAUGGUGAUAAAUAAAAAGUGUUUUAUUUAUAUUCAUAGGUUUUGAUACCAUACUAGAUUCAAUUAUUCUUGUGUUUCAUUUUGCAUGUUUUGACUUCCAGAAUAAACUAGGUUAUUCUUCCUGAAUGACUAAGUUAUUCAAACCAUCCAUAGUCGGUCAUAUGUUGGAAGUAGAUAUGAAUCAAGACUGUCAUGGGUUGGGCUUGUAGAGGUCUAAGAUGUUGGACAAGGUGAUGCUACAACACUCAUGAGUGCUCAUAAGUUCUGAGUAUUGGAUUCAACCCGCGCUCAUUGGAAUCACUUCAUGGAUUUUAUCACGAGUGAUCAUGAGACAAAAAUAUCUUAUAUUCUUCAAACCUAGAGAUAUGAGCUAUUAAAAUGAGUUGGUUGUACAUUGAUUGCACGAAACCGCAUUGGUAACUCGAUGUUAUAAAACGUGCUUUUGUGUAUGAUUCAACAAGUAGUAGAACAAGCCAUAUGAGUCGAAGUUUAUCCAUUCCUUUUACCUUCGGGAUAAAAGCGAUAUCUGUGGGCCCCUCGAUGAUUUGAUGAUGACAAAUGGAAGUGCUCGGCCGGGCCAGGACUGAUUUGAUUUGUUCAAUUAGUCAGUCGUCAUAAAUCGGAAAUCGGGAAACAACAAAUGGACAGAGAGAAUGAUUAUAAUCCAUGUCUCAGUCCAUAUGAUAUCUAGAAUGGAGGAAUAUAUGAUCCCUUAUCUAAUGGACAAGUCAUUGACAAAGGUCAGAGUUCAUCUACAAGGUCAGAGUUCGACAGAAGCUUUUGAGAGCUACGAUUGCCAGUUGGUUCCUGAAGUCAUACGCAAUAAUAGUUUUAGACUUAUCCAAGUGGGAGACUGUUGGAUUAAUGUCUAAGUCCAUAACUAUAAUUGGUAAGACUUGACCCGACCCGGCAUGGUCCAUUUGGGUUGCAUGGCAUCGGGACAAUUGGAUAGACAAGAUGAGGAAAAAGGAUACUAGUGAUUUUUAUUAAUAUAUUAUAAGUUCUAAUAUAUUAAUAUAUAAUCAUAUUAUUUAAUUAGUAUUGAUCAUGAAUUAAUUUAUAAUUAAUUAAGUGAUAAAAAAGGAACUAAUUAAAUAUGGACUCUUAGAUAUAUAUAUGUGUGAUGGGCCAAGCUCAUUUAUGUUGGACUAAGCUCUCAUGGAUAGUCCAUGGAGUGUUUAACCCAUGGAUCAUAUGAAAUGAAAGGUCAUGAGUAUUAGGGUUUAACCAUAAUCUCCACACUAUAUAAAGAAGUCCUUAGUUGGUGGAAUUUGGACUAGUAUGUGUACAAAAAACGGGAAAGGCCGAUUUCACUAGAGAGAACCAAAGUAUCCUUAUUCUCAAGGUUAUUCCAAGUGUUCAUGGUGUUGUGUGAACAAUUUGAGGUGUCACACUUGGGGCACUAGGCACUCAAGCUUCAUGAAGACAAGAUUACAACAAAGAGGUAUGUAUUCUAACUUGCUACAUUACUAUGUAUCAAUAUUUUGGUAUGCUAGUUAGGAAAAUACCUUCGAUAUUCAUAUUUUCAUGUGUAAUAGAGAAAACAUAGAUCCAAGGUAUUUAGGGUUGUAUGUGAACCAUAGGAUGUUGUAGUAUACUAAAACCCAACACUUAGAUCCUUAUCCCUAGUCUAGCAUGCAUUUCUCAUAAUCAUAUCAUAUAACAUAAUAUAUCAUGUAUGGGGAUCUUGGGGAAAAACUUACUUGAGCUCGGCCGGUCGCACGCAUCACACAAACCAAGGCUCUGAUACCAACUUUUAACAUCCCAAAAAUCCAGACCAAAAUUUUUUGUUUUAAUGUAUAUUAGUUGUAAAAUUGUUUAAGGAAAAAUAGUACUGAUAUCACAUCAAACCACAAAACAAAAGUUACAUGUCUCAAAAACCAUAAUGUCAAAUAGUAUAAUGUCAGGCUAUCAUCCCAAGGUUCUCAAAUGCGGAAUCAUAUGUGUGCAGUGUGCUGCGACCCUGUCGGCUCCUUCCUCUUAGUUGAAGAGGUACUUGAAACCAAAACUGAAAACCAUAAGCACAAAACUUAGUGAGUUCCCCUAACAUACCACAUACUAUACAAUCAUACAUACUGCUGGGCAAUUAUGGGGUGCCAGACCUACCCAUGUCAAGCCAUUCUGGGGUGAUGACCUACCCAUGUCAUGCCAUUCUGGGGUGCUCACCUACCCGUGUCAGGCCGUUUUGGGGUGACUGCCUACCCCCCGGUCAAUCUCACUCGAUCAUAGGGACUAUUUCACCUUCUACCACUAUCACAUAAUAACAUAUCAUAAUCAUGCUGUCAGACAUAUCUAGGGUGUCCGACCUACCCUUCGCCUAACUACUGAAUCAUGGGACUAUUCCCCUCCUACUACCACUAACACUUAUAGCAUAUCAUACUCGCAUAUAGAACACAUUAGGUAAUAGCAAACUAGACAAUUAUCACAAAGACAAUCAUCUCAACUAUAAACAACUACUAGUGGGUCGUCCUUGGUGCCUUAGACCCAAUUCUACUGGAAGGUAACUGACCUCAAUGUCGUGUAGUGUCUGCACUGUCCUCAGUACGAAAAUCAACUCUUCUCGACUCCUUGAUCCCUACACAACAUCCUUUCUAAGUUACCGUUUCAUACUCAUAACCCCUACCACAGUCAACUCAAGUCCAAGUCAAAGUCAAGGUCAAAACCUUGGUCAAAGUAAAUUUGGUAGAACUUAACAUUUGGUUGACUCGACUCGCCGAGUGUGUCCACCAACUCGUCGAGUCCCCACUUCCAUGAAAUGCUACAACCUCGUCCCUACUCGUCGAGUCUAGCACGAGCUCGACGAGUUCUCCUUCAACAAAAGAUCGGGACCUUCUUCAACUGACUCACCGAGUUCUUCCGUGAACUCGUCGAGUCUAUCUGCAUCCGUAUGAAGGUGUUCGGUCUAUGACUCGCCGAGUUCAUCCUUGAACUCGUCGAGUCCGUCUUCAUGUGGUUGCGACAUUGCUUUGAACUCGCGGAGUUCCUCCUUGAACUUGUCGACUCCUUCAAUCUUCAAGUCCAUAACAAACCUCUAACAGGCUGAGUGUUCCUUCCACUCAACCAAAGACCGUUACCAGAAGACAUUCGGGGGAAAAUGCGACCCGACUCACUUAGUCACCUAAGCGACUCGUCGAGUCCCUCUUUUUCCAAAACUAUUUAGUCGAUUAUAAUGGGUCUUAAUGCAUCAAAACCAUAGAUCUGACCUCCUAAGUUCCACUUUAUAUGUAAAGUUCCAAUCUUGAUGUCCAUGCAUGGGAUUUUUGGCUCAGAAAGCCAUAAAAAGAGGUAUAUAAGAAGCAUGGGUCUCCCAUGGCCAUAAAGUUGGCACCUUUAUGCCAUGGGAACCCUCAAUCAUUCCAGAUCUUAAGUAUAACUCUAAGCACACUCACAAAAUAUGAUUACAACUUCAUAAAGUCAUAAAAAGGGUAGAAAAUAGCCCCAAAACAAGAUCUAAGAGAUAGAUGGUCAAGGUUCUAGCUUUUUACCUUAAAUGAACUGAGAAUGAAGCAAAACCUCUGGAUAUACUAGCUUCCAAUUGAACUCCCGAACUUCCUUCUUCUCUUCCAACUUCAAAUGCACACAAAAGUCACCAAAAAGCUCAAGAACACUCAAAACAGGCUUAGGGUUCAAGUUAGGGAUUUCUCUGGGUUGGGAGGAACAAUGGAGGCUGGGUUGGGGCGUUAUAAAUUUUUUAAAUAUGGUGCAAACCCUAAAUAUUAGGGUUUCAUCCAGAUAACUUAAAAUCAUUGAGUCAGUCUCCCGACUCGUCUAGUAGAUCAUUAAACUUCCCGGUCAACAAUCGAGUCUACUCGACGAGUUGGGGCUCCAACUCGCCGAGUCCUAGAGGAAAACAUGAACUUACUUGAAUUAAAAUAUAUACUAGGCACCGGGUAUUACUACAAAGCUUUCCAUCUGAAAAAUAUACUUACAAACUCACCAACUUAAAUAUUGAUACAAUUUCAAAACCACUUGUAUUCUUAGGGAACCGGUAGACAGGUACACCCAUGAGUUGGGCCUCCAACUCGCCGAGUCCCAGAGGAAAACAUGAACUUACUUGAAUUAAAAUAUAUACUAGGCACCGGGUAUUACAACAAAGCUUUCCAUCUAAAAAACAUACUUAUGAACUCACCAACUUAAAUAUUGAUACAAUUUCAAAACCACUUGUAUUCUUAGGGAACCGGUAGAUAGGUACACCCAUAGGUUUUGAGAAGGCGGAGAUCAUAGAGUCGCGUCUUUUAUACUUUUGCUAUACAUUUUUGAUGUCAUACAAUCUAUGUAUUGAACAGAUGUAAGCACUAUAUUUUUUCAAUGUAAUGGUUGUGUUUGAUUUGAUUACUAUUAUGCAAUUGUUGUGAUACUGUACAUGAUGUCAUCCGCCCUGAACGUUUCCACUGUUCCGGUUUGGGGUGUGACAAAUUUUGACUCUAUUUUUAAAGUUAUAUUUUAACAGGUCGUGACAGGAAAGGUCCGUUAAAAAAUCAUAACUUCUUCAUUCAACGUCUGUUUUCGUCUGUCUUUUUACCGUUGAGCUACUAUUAACGAGACCUUCGAUUCUCGCUUAGGUUGUGUCGGCCAAAAACCGUUCAAUCCACUAUUCGAUCUCCAGGUUGUGUACUGUUAAUCUGAAACUUGGAAAAACCAUAAUUUCCUCAUACGAAGUCAGAUUUGGGCGUUCUUUUUAUGCACGCUCUCGGUAUAGCAUACAUUAAGGGGGUGUUUGGCUUAGCUUUUAUGGGGCAAAAGUCCUUUUUAUAAAAGGACUUUUUGUAAAAGAACUUUUUACAAAAGUUAUUUUUUUAAAUGUGUUUGGAUUAACUUUUGAAGGGAAAAAGUCAAAAAUUAAAGUGUUUGGUUUAAUUUUUACAUGUAAAAUGACAAAAAAGAACAUGUUUAGGGUAGAUGAGGGGUAUAUUGGUAAUUUAAUAUUUUUAGUUGGUGAAAAGUUAGGAAAAGUCAAGUAAUCGUGACUUUUCAAAAAGACUCAAAUUACUCUAUGGCAAAAGUCAUUUACAAAAGUCCUUUUCCCUUUGCUAAACAUCUUUUGGGACUUUUUCUAAAAGAUAAAGUCAAAAGUCAUUUAAAAAGCUAACCCAAACACCCUCUAAGACUUUCGUUUAGAUCGCUAAGGCUAAAAAGCACUUUUUCAUAACUACUUCGGUAUAACUCGGAUUUCGGCAUUCUUUAUGUCUCCAGAAUCCUUGUCACGACCACUACAACUUUCUUCAUGGGUAUCAGGUUUAUCUAACAUUUUAUUUUUGACGCUUAUUGUUAUUUUAUCUUUACAAACAAGUAUAUAAUCACAUAAUUCACAUAGUAUUCAAUUAAUUCAUCUUUAUUACUUUAAAAUAGGUUACAAUGGUUGACCUUGACUAUUACAUCAUCGAAUUAAUGCUUAGCCUCGAAACACGGGCGUUACACAUCCUCAACACACGAUUUUAGCCACAUAAUGAUAUAUAACGUCUAGAUCUAUAAUAAAAAAUCAAUAGAUUUUGGUAAGCAAGAUUCCAAUACAAGGACAUAAAAUGUGUCAUUUAGUUAAAACACAGUAAUAAUAAACAUUUUGCAUUUAAGGGGCGAGGGAGAAUUUUCUUCGAGUGCUUGGUGCAAAUGAAACACCUCUUAUUAGAGUAAUUAAAAAUUAACCUUUUCAAAUCAUUUGAUUUAAAACUGAAAAUUUUAAAGUUCAAGUAUGUGGAAUCAAUGCUCCCAAGUUUGAAAACAAGUUCAAAAGUUCAAUUUAGCGAAGAUCUAAUAAUACAAUGUCAUAACAAAGUUUUAAGUAACCACAUAUGUCAUGGCCUACUCAAAGUAUUUGCUACCAUAAGCUAAUGACUAAAGUCUUCAAUACGAACACACAUCAAUAUAAUUUUCUAGUGUGUAACACCUUGAUUUCUAGGUAUUUACAUUUUCAAUCCUUAUGAAGUAAUUAGUUUGCAAGUUGGUCCUAAGGAGCCUUAAAUGAGAAAAACGUCUUGCCUAGUAUGUUAGGCGUACGCCUUGUAUACUAGACAUACAUGGCCAAAGGCUAUACCCUAAUUUUUAGGGUUUGGACCCUAUUUAAACAUCCUUAACUACUAAAAUCCCCUUCAUUGAUCAGCCUCCAUCCCCAUCUUCGACCCAAGCUAACCCUAAUCUCUUGUGUGAGCAUUUUUGACCUUGAGUGUCUAUUUUGGUGAUCUUGAAGGAGGAAGAAGGAAGUGGAAUCAUCUUGGGAUCUCAAAGACAACCUAGAUCCAAAAGCACAUCAUCAUUUUGCACCACUUGGAGGUAAAAAGCUCUAAUCUUGAUUUAGUUUUGCUUAGAUCUUAUUAGCCAUGGAUUUGUGUUCAUUUUGGUCCUAUAAUCUUGGUGUUUAUGAGUAUGGUUUACUCUAAAUCAUCUGAUCUGUUCUUUCAGACAUUUUGGAGUGUUUAGAGUCAUAAAAUGUAAUCUUGCUACUUAGUUUCCUUCCAUGCAUGAACUAUAAGGUCUUAAUGAGUUAAGAAGUUAGGGUUUUUGAUAUUGGGCACUUUCUAGCCAUGCAAAGUCAUAAAGUUGGAAACUUUAUGACUUAGAAUGCUAUUUUGGGACUAGAUCUGGGUUUUUGACAAAGUAACUAAAUGGAUUAAGAACUUCUUAGAAAGGGAAGUAGGCAAAGGUGCAUGAUGGUCAUACUUGAUGGUACGAUGCGCGUAUGUGGUCAACUCCUUGUAAUCUAGUCAAAGUGUAUUAUGUCGCGCAUACAAACUAAGUACGUUGGGCAUACUCGGUUGAGUUGACUCGAUUGACACCUUUAAAAUUUGACUUUGACCAGGAUUUUGACUAAGUUUAACCUAGGGGUAUUUUAGGUAUUUUGAGUUAUAGAAUGAGAUUUGGUCACUGUUUAUUAUGAAGGUGAUCAAUAGAGUUCGUAUUCAGAGGAACGUGUUGUUCAGCUACGUCUCCAGUCUAUGAGGUGAGUUUUUCCCUCACUGGACUUGUGGGUCGAAGGCACUAAUUUCGGCCCACUGGAUCAUGGAUCCUGGUAUAUUAGUUUGAUGUUAUGCUGAGUAUGUACCAGAUUGGGAGAUCUGUAUGAUUAUCUGUGUUCACUGAGAAUGCUUUAGACUGGUAGAUCUGUAUGAUUAUAUGUGUUGCUAGUUAUUGAUUGUUAUUAUAUAUGUCAACUUGUUAUGGUUUGUUGGGUUGAGAUGGUCUAGCUUGGUGUUGAAGGCCAAGACACCCAGGGUGGUCCGUAUAGACUGAAGACCAACAAGGUGGUCCAGUCAAGCCAAAGGCCCGGAGAGUGGUCCAGACACACUGUAGACCUAGUGAGGCGGUCUAGUCAUGAUGAAGGAUCUAAGAGCGGUCCAAAUACGUUGCAGGCCCUAAGAGGCAGUCAAUUCAGGAUGAAGGCUCAUAUAUGUAUGCUAUUAUCUGUUUGGUUGUGUGUGUGGUACUUGGGGGAACUCAGGCUUACAGUUUCAGUUUAUUGUUUUAGGUACUUUAGAUGACCAGGGGAAAACAAAGGCGUUAUUGUGCACAUCCUUCUCAUUUUUUGAUAUUGGAAUUUGAGAUACUCUAAUUAUGAUUAUUACUUUUGUAAAAAUGUUUUGUAAACAAUUAUGGUCUUUGUAUUGGUUUUGGAAAAAUGAAAAUUUUACUCUAAUGUUUGGGAUGUUACAAGUUGGUAUUAGAGUCAUGGCUUGUGAGAUUGGAUAAAUAUUCAUGUGAAACCAGAUUCAAACUAAUCAUUUGUAAAAGUUUUCAAAAUGGUUUUUAAAAGUAACAAAGGAAGGAUGAGAUAUGUACAAUCAAACAGAGCAAGCAAGGUUACCCCAAGUUACCUAUACUAUUAUUUGUUAUUGAUGAUUAUGAUAGAACUGCAUGCUAGUGGUAGGCUAGGGAUCUUCAGGAAUUGCAUGAUAGAAUUGUCUGAUGUAUGAUGUCUGAUAACCUAUGUGGACUUCUUGUAUGUUAGAUGAAAUUGACAUCAUUACUGUAGUUUCUUAGUGAGUGAAUCAUUAUAAAUAACUAAUAUUCUAUAGCCUGAGAAUGUUUGAUUUAGCCUUAUUUCCUGUUCCUUGUUUAGUGUUGAUGCAUAAAAAGUGAACCUCUAGGAAUUCGAGCCAAACAAGAUCCGAAGUCAAACUCAAUCGAAGAUGUGAAGAGUUCAGAAGUUUGUCUUCUUCCGAGAUAUAGACAUUUCCGAAGUUAAUCUUUUGAUGUGAUAGAGUCUGUACGAGCAUUAAAUGCUUUUUUUCUUUUUUUCUUAUUGAAAAAUCUUAGGACCAAAUCAAGUGAAUCUUUUAUGUGUUAAAUUUGUCAAAAACUUGGUUUUACCUAGUCCAUAGAAUGUUCUCAGAGUAUACUGUGUCUCUCCUUUACUAUUUAAGGAUAUGAUGCUUCAUGGAUUGUAAGAAAGAAAUAGAAUUAUUCUCUUCACAUCAAUUAAAAAUUCUCUUUCAAGUCAAAUCUCUUUCACUGUCAUUCUACUUCUUCUUAAAUUGUCUUUACUAUUGCUCAUACUCAUUUUACUCCCUUAAAUAUUUUAUUGAAUACUUUGUUGAAUAUCAUCUUCAAGUCUUGACUGGUUUACCAGACUUGACUAGACCAAUAUAUUAGCAGCAAAUAUUGAUCUCAAAAGUUAAUUCAAGGUUUGAGUUUUCAAACCUUGUCCGCGCACUUAAUCUUGUACUCAAAAUUGGUAUCAGAGCUUGAGUGGUUGUCCUUUGAAUCAUUUUUGUGUUCACGAUAAAAGUUAUUCUAUAUACCACUUUUGCACCAAUACUUUAACUUUAAUGAUUGCUCCUAAUCAAACUCAACAAAUGUAUUCGAUGCAAAUAGAAAAAAGCGUGGGUUACCCUUCUCGUAACCCCUUGCUAGUUGUUGAAGAGUAUGAUCACUCGAAAGUUAGGAUGGAAAUAUUUUUACUUGGGAAAGAAAAAGGUGAAGAAAUAUGGAGAUCUGUGAAAGAAGGUCCUCAUGUUCCAGUGAGACAAAUAGAGAGAGAGAGAGAGAGAGGGAGAGACGUUGCUACUCUCAUGGGCCAAGUAGAUUAAUGUCCAACACCUCUUACUACUUCAAAUAUCGAAAAGCUUUAUGCAUAUUAGAUUGCAUUUUCCGAGAUGGUGUUUGGUGUUCCUCUAUCUCUCUUUGAGCACAUUAAGUUGUGUAAAUCUGCAAAAGAGAUUUGGGUCACUCUUUAGGACUUGUUCGUAGGGUCCGACAACAUGAAGGACAAGCAUUUGACUUUGGUUGUCAAUGAUUUUGAUACCUUCACCACUACUCUAGGUGAAUCUAUAGCCUCAUCCUCAACUAGGUACAUAAUGGUUGUCGACAACAUGAUUGCACACGAUAUAGUCAGAACUCCUCUUGAGUACAAUCUGAAGUUUAUCAAUAGCCUUGGAAAAGGUUAGGGGAACGUCAAGUCAUGUCUUUAGAGUAACAAAUAUAUGAAGAAACUGAAGCUUUAUCAACUUUUUGACGAACUACAAAGCCACGAAUGUAACGUUGCUCAAAUGUUUAGAGAACUGUCAGGAGGUCCUCUUGCUUUGGUUAAUUGUGCUAACCCACUAAUUCUGAACCGUGUCAAGUCCUUUCGAAACUAUUCCACCUAUUUCGCCCGUUCAACCAAAAUUUCCUACUCCACUCACUCCACCUGUUCCGAAUUGUUCAUUUGAUGAAUAUCUUGAUCUUGAUCCAGCCAAAUCCGAACUUCGUUUUGAACAAGAAUUCACACUCUUGUCCAUGAAAUACAAACGCACCUGGAAUCUUAUCCAUAAACCUUAUCAAUACUAAUUUCAAGCCCCUCAUCAAAGCAAUCCUCAACCAUUUCUGAAAGCUUCAGAAAACCCACCUGCUUACUGACCCAACAUCCCCUCAUCAAGUCAUUCCUCAAAAUCCCAAGAAAUUCCGAAAUCAGAUAAACCCAAGAUAGUUUGUCACAAAUGUGGUCUUGGUAAACAUUUUUCCAGAGACUAUUUGUCUGAAACCUCUUAGAAGCCGAAGGUAAAAGAUUCUACAUACUAUUCUUGUAGAGCCCAAAAAUUGGCAACACGUGAGAAAGCUUUUGUUACCACUGUGUAAAGAGAUGUUUAAGGGUGUCAGUCUUUUGGAGAUAAGGAUGAAGUGAGAAAUAGAAGGAAUAUGUUUAUUAUGGCAAGACAGUCUAUCAAAUGUGAUGAAGGAUGCUGGUCUUCAUGAAUAGAAGAAGACGAGGAAAAUGUUGAGCCAAACUUUUGCUAUAUGCCAACAAAUGACCCACCAGGUAGAAGGAUCUUCCAACAGCUAAGAUCUAUGAUUACUGAAAAUAAUUUUGAUUUAUCUAUUUGUAAAGCAGAUCUAACCCAGAUCCAAUCAGAUAUGACUAUCAUUCAUAAAGCCUAUGAGUCUGCCAUAAAAGUAAGUAAGAAGCUAGAGAGUGAACUGACUCGCCUUAGAUUACGCUUUGAAGAUAGCAAUGUUAAGAUAGAAUCACUAGAAAGAGAGCUUGUCAUGUCUAAUGAUGAAUGUAUCAUUCUAAAAGACAAAUGUGAAAUCACUUUUUGUGAAAGGAAUAUCUUAGUUUCUGAUAACAAACGUCUUAAUGCCAAAAUUGAUGCUUUGCAUCACUCAAUUGAUAUCCUUGAAGAAAACGAAAGGAUGACACAUAUUUUUCAUCACCUAUUGUACAAACCACCAGGUCUUGGAAGCAAAUUUCGAAAACCUGUUUCUCAUCCCUUGAAGGAGUUGAAAAAUCUAACGUUCAUGGGAGAUGUUCCGAAUCGCAUUCAUUCGGAUACCCCUGUCUCACCAUUGUCACCCCCGAGACAUCAGACCAGUUCCAAUCUCUGAUUCUUGAGUUCCAAAAUCUAACGUUCAUGGGAGAUGUUCUGAACCGCAUUCAUUCGGAUACCCCUGUCUCACCAUUGUCACCCUUUCCUAAGACUUCAGACCAUUUCCAAUCUCUGAUUCUUGAGUUCCAACCUAUCAUUGUCAAAUAUCUUUAUUCCAUGCCUCUUCCGCCUCUGAUACCCCUGGACCUGAAUCAAUCCUUGGAUUCAUUCCUUGACAUUAACUGUACUAAAGUUCAAAUUCCAAACUCCGUUCCACCAAAAAAUUGUGUUGUCGAGGAAAUAAUUCACGAGAAAACUGGACAUGACUCUGACAAAUCCGAAUUCGUGUGGGUGUCAUUUGAUAGUGAUGUAGAUGAAUAAAUUGUAUGUGACAACUCAUCUGACUCAUGUAUAUCUAACUCUGAAGUGAUUUUGAAAACAAGUCUUGUGCUAAUUAAGCCUAAGUUCGACAAUCCAUCAUCUGUAAAAACUUCCAAUUUAUCAUCUGAAUCUCAGAAGAAACCCAUGUUAAAUAGGAAAGAUGUUGUUCAUCCUAAGAUCGAAUUCAAAAAUGCCCUUAAGAAAGAAAUUAGGUCAAGGCAAGAUUCCAGAUUCAUUAAGAAAUCCAAAAAGAAAGUGUCUUGAAUAGAUAGACCAACCAUUAGCAACCAUAAUACCUUUAUGUUUGUUAUGAUUCUUAAGAGGCCAUCCAAUCCUCCUAGUUUGGUUGUUCAAAACAAAUAUGUCAGUCCUAAUCCCGAAAAGGUCACUUUUGAGACUUCUUCGAUGAAAACUGACUCUCCUCGGACAAUUUCCUCUAUGUUUAUUGCUAAAUCUGAUGGCAUGAUUUUCAAACCAAAGCAAUUUCUGAAACCAAAUGUGCGUUCAAAAUCAACAAGCAAAGAACAAGUUAGUAGGAAAACUAUUACAUGUUUAUGGGCUUUAGUUGUCCUUUUGCAUGCUUAUUGGGCCUAGAAAAUACCUUACAUGCUUAGUGGGCCUUAGUGAUCCUUUUACAUGUUUGUUGGGCCUCAUACAUUCACAUACAUACUCGUUUGGCACCUAUCGAGUGUACAACCGUAGCUUGUAGUUAUAACCAGAUUCUCCUGGAGGGAGCGCGGUAGUUUGUGUAUAGAUCUAUACGGGGGUGACACCCCACACCUGAGUUGUUCGCUACAGUCUAUUGUUCACUACAGUUAGACUAGGCCAGUCUAGGGUGACAAACCUUACCUUAAACAAGUCGGCGUCUGAAAAUGUCAUGACAAACGGAUUAGUCAUUAUCAAGUAUAGUUAUAACGACUCACUUAGAUGAAUUAACUCCAUUAUAAAAUUUAUGGAAUACAAUUUCUGUUGAUAACACGGUAACAUACACACAUUGGUACUCAGUCUUAGAGUGUUAAGAUCACAACGUUUUAUAAACAGACAAUAUCAAAUUGUCUAGGAUCAUUCACUUCAUACACUUUCAAAAUUUUACACACAUGCAUUAAUAUAAGAUCGGACACAAACAUUUCAAACCGUUUUUCAGAAAAUAUUGAAUUUUCUGGCAUUUACAAAGUAUUACAAAACAUUUUACUCAAACAUACUUAUGAACUCACCAACUGUGACAUCCCCAAAAUCUCGGCCAGAAAAGACCGAUUUUCAUUUAUGCUUUUAAAUAAUUUCAGAGUAAAUCAUUUUGAUUUGAAAGAGUUGUGGAAUUUGUUCCCAAAACAAAACAUGAUAAAAUAACAUUUAUCAAAGCAUUUCAUCAAGAGAUGCAUUUUCAUUAUAUAAUCAAAACUCGGGAUGUCAUGUUCCGAUACAGACCAUGAAGCAUAAACGAUAAACAUUACAAGUCAUUCAACAAAUAUAUACAUAUACAGACUUGUAAACAAAACAACAAGAUGAUCCAUCCAUCUUACGCCCUUGUGCCACUUCCUGUAAUACAAAUAAAACUGAGUGGGUCAGGCUUGGGAGCCUGGUGAGCAUAUAGGGUUUUCAACCCACAAUAAAUAAGUUAUAUUUAAUUUCACCAACCAAUCACUAUCCCGAUUACCCAUUCCCGUUAUCCUCACUUUACGUCCCUAAAACAACUAUCUCAAGGGACCUAAUCUAGGAUUUUCAUCGGGACGGACAUCACUGCGAAGGGGUUUCCUCAACAAUAGAUAUCCUAAAGGCAACCAUGAGGGGGAUAGAGUACACCGGUGAACACAUCGUUCACAACACCUACAGGUUAUGAACCUGCUAGCGUUCCACUGGACUGUCUAGAAAGAGUCCGUGGUCGUUAUCCAUACUCCGCUGAAUAACUAGAUCAACAACAACAACAACAUCGAGGCCUCUCAUCUGUUUAUUACACACCAACUAUCUACCCAUGUUCUACCCAACAUAUUAGUAGAUAAAAAUAUAUAUUUUCAUACGUAGUUUAAAGAAAACCUGUAUAGCAUGCUUUAAUCAACACAUAUGUCACAUAACAGAUGAGGCACACACACAUAACACAUAUCUCAUAAAGAAAUAAGCAGAUCUAUAAGAUAGAAGAGAGUGAAUACUCAUUCACACAUAACACAACCAAAUAUAUACACAUAGCACGUAUUUUUAUAUAAAAUACUUCGUAUUAUUGUAUUAGAAGAAAUAACUACACACUCACUUGAUCAGAAGACGAUCCGACAGCACUACGGCUUAUAGAAGUAGUAAUCCACAGCAGAUCUGGAAGAUCUCCUCGAAAAUCGAACUUCUCGCGGGCAGAGCUUCGACUCGGGAACCGCGCUUCUCGGGAUCUUCGGGAUCUCGGGACUUGCCUCGGGGCUAGAGUAUGAUACCGGGGCUUCGGGGUAGCUUCGGCACGAAAAACGAUGCAAAAGACUAGAGAGAAGAGAAGAAAAUGAACAAGAAAUGAGGCUGCCUUCGGAUCCUUUAUAUAGAGGCUGGAACCUCGGAGUACGCGGGGCGUACAGGCGUACGCAGCGCGUACGCGUCCGAAAUCGUCAUUGCAUGCGUCAUCCGAAGUGUCGACACUAUCGGAGUUACGCGAUAGCGUAACCUCGUACGCGGGGCGUACUCCGGAUUACACCGGUGACACGGCUUCGGAUAAUGCCUCCGAUUUUGAAUUAAAUAAAAAUAUAAAAUGAUUAAUAAACUUCGGAAAUUCAUAACUUCUUCAUACGAACUCCGUUUUCGACGUUCUUUAUAUCCACGGAAAGGUGAGACCAUGCUCUACGACUUUCGUUUAGACUCCGUCGGCUAAUUUUGACUUUAUUUUUAUUAAUUAUUUUUAAUAGGCCGCGACAGAAACUUUCGUUAUAAAUUCAUAACUUCUUCGUUUGACGUCCGUUCUCGCCUAACUUUUCAUCGCUUCGAUACCAACAAUGAGAUCUUCGAUUCUCAUUUAGAUUGCUUCGGCUAAAAACCGCUCGAUCUCAAAUCGAGUAUUUCAGGCUGCACACUGCUAAGUCGAAACUUCGAUAAAUCAUAACUUCCUCAUACGAAGUCAGAUUUGGGCGUUCUAUAUAUAUUCGGAAACCUCGUUUCAACUACUACAACAUUAACCAAAGAUAUUAAGUUUAUUUUACACUUAAAUUUUGACGCUUAUUUUUAUUCUUAAUUAAUCAAACCACAUAAUUAAGCAAUUAAGCACAAAACACAUAAUACUCAAAUAAUACAUUCUUAUUAUUUCAAAACGGGUUACAAAGGUUAACCUAGACUAUCACAUUGCUAAAAACGGCAAGCCCGAAAACACAGGCGUUACACAGACAUUAUAUGUGUUGACGUUUUCAAAUUAACUUGUAUUCUCAGGAAAUCGUUGAGCAGGUUUGUCAACAAGAAUACCUGGAAUUUUGUUAUCAACAUACUUUGGAUAUUUGGCAUGUAAUUUGAAAUACAAUACUUGAUGUAAACAAUGACAGUUGUAAUAUUGCAUGUCUGAUGAUGAUGAUGUUUUGUUUCAAUUAUAUACACUGUGAUGAUACUACAAGAAUGAAGUCACCCAACCCCCAGAAGUUUCCGCCGUUUCUCCGGUUCGGGGGUGUGACAGAUUGGUAUCAAAGCAUUGUUUAUAGUGUACUGGCAUAUCUAGUCAUACAAGAUAUGAAACUAUAAAAUACAAUGGGACUAAACUAAUCUGAACAAAAUAAUCAAAAUACAUACCUACGUGUGCAUUAAUACACUAACAAUAAAAGUCUCUAGAGGAAAUUGAACAUUGUGGUUAAACCUGGAUAGUUAUGUAGUCGUAUUGGGAAUAAAAGAUCCUGAUCAACUAUAUUUAUUCAAAAUACGACCAACAUGUGUUUGGGAGUGAUCAUAGUGGACAAUGAAUCUAGAAACUUACCAACCUUGUAUCUAAAAUGCUUUAACGAGCUCAAACAUAAACAAUUAAAAUACUAUAGGAGUUUUUUGGAAUGCUAUAUAAAUACACUCUCCUUACACACUUCUCACCCCUCAUGCAGACCCUACGGCCGAAUUCCAUCAUCUAGGAGAUACUAAUAUCCCCAACCAGGGGAAUGGAGGAUGGUUAGAGCCGGAAGCGGAGGAAGAGCCAGAGGAAGAACCAGAAGAAGAACCUGAAGAAGGACUGACAAAACCGGUAGCAGACUCAAAUGAGGAGGAGGCUGAUGGUAGCGAUGCAGAUGACUCGGACGCGGAGUCCGAAGUCAUUAAUCUGACAUUCAUGACCAGCGUGCCCCUGUACAGGAUGGGUCCACGGCCCUAUGCCCCCAUGGUGGACCUGCAGAUCGAGCCCUUCCAGUAAUGGUUAGGAGGACGCGUGACAUCGAUGAGUAGGAACAGGCAACUGCCGGUCAAAUGGUUGCAAUAAGAGCUGCGAUUUAGUGUGCAGAAAGGAUGACUCAUGAGGUGGUCAGGGACUAUCACACGCGACAGGCAGCGUUGGAGGCUCAACUUCGAGCCACCGAGCAUCAUCUGGCCAGACUCCAGGGUGCAUCUACCUCGUCAUUAGCAUCAUCAGACCCUUGUCACCAUGACUAGGAUCAGCUUCAUCCACUACCACUACUGUUAUGAUUUCCUUUAUGUACUACCGUCUUCAUGAUUAAUUGAUUACACUACUCAUGGAGUCGUUAUGCUGUCGUAUUUUAUUUGCUUCAUGUAAUUGUAUGCCUUAUAAAGGCAAAGUUUCAUGUAUUAAAAGGUUUAUUACUAGUGAAAGCAGUUGAAUAUUUUAUCGUGAUGUUGUUAUCUGCUAUGUGUUCUAUUAUUUUUAUUUCAUGUUGAUUUUAUGCAUUCAUUUACACGCACAACCGAAUCACUGAAACUGCUCUAUAUACAAAGAAUCUUGAAACCUGAAUGCAUUGAAUACUUACCAUCUUUCUGUGCCAUGAAAAAAGAUGCCUCAAAGAACGAUAUGCAGGAACCACAACGCAACACCACCACCACCGCCUCCACCAGAAGUGAUCUUGGCUGCAUUCCAAGCAGCAGUUUCAGCUGCCGUUACAGCAGCACUGGCACACAUUCACUAUGGGAACAACGGUGGAGGUAACGAGCAAGAAGCUGGAAACUCGAACCAGGGGAUGAACCAAGGACCUACAAAGGUUUGUACCUAAAAAGAUUUAACAAAUGCCAAGCCUCGAACCUUCAAUGGAACGGGAGGCGUGAUAACUCUAAAGCGGUGGAUAGAAAAAGUUGAAUUGGUUUUCGAAAUAUACGGAUGUCCUGACGAAUGCAAAGUGAAAUUUGCAGCUUGCACAUUUGUCGAUCAAGCGCUUUCCUGGUGGAAUGGUCAUGUGGAGGCCAUGACACUCCCAGUGGCGAAUGAUAUGCCAUGGGAGGAGCUUAAGGAAAUGUUAAUGGAAGAGUACUGUCCAAGAGGGGAGUUCCAGAAAAUGGAGCAGAAACUCUGGAAUCUCACAGUACAGAACUUAGACAUCUAUGCUUACAUCUCGAGGUUUAGUGAAUUGUCACUCCUAUGUCCAGGCAUGAUCACUUCUGAAGGAAAGAAGAUUGAAAGAUUCAUUUGGAGAUUAACCUCUCCAAUCCAAGGAAACGUAAUAGCAACAAACCCUGAGACGUAUGACAGUGCUAAAAGACUAGCCAAGAAGCUCUAUGACCUUGGCAACAAGAAAGGAGCCAAAACCGCUGAGAUCGAGACCAAAAAGGAAGGAGAUAACAUGAAAAAUAAGGACAGAAAAUAAAAAGGACGACAAAACCAAGGGUCAUCAAAAAAGAAACAAACUGUAGCAGUCCACACUGUCACUGCUUAGAUUGCCCCAACACCACAUGCUCCAGCCUCAACUACGCAAACCACUACCAGACAAUACUCGGGAACCUUACCCAAGUGUAACAAAUGCAACUUUCACCACCAUGGAGAGUGUAGAGAAGUCCAGUGUACUAACUGCAACCGUAAGGUCCAUACCACUCGAUACUGCAGAUCUCAACCCUAACAGAACCAACAGCCAAACAAAAAAAAACAACAACAACAACUGCAACAACAAUAACAACGACAAUAACGCUGGGGCUAGUCACACUUGUCAUGGAUGUGGCGGAACUGGCCAUUUCAGACGCCAUUGCCCCAAAGCCAAUAACCAAGGAGCAGGAGGAUCAGGGAGGGUCCUUACUUUGGGUCUAGUUGAGGCAGUUCAAGACUUGACGGUUGUUACUGGUACGCUCCCACUUAACAACACUUACGCAUGCGUUUUAUUCGAUGGUGGAGCUGAGUGGAGCUUCAUUAGUAAUAAAUUCAAACACUUACUAAACCAACAACCCUAGAAGCUAAGCAAAGCCUUCACGGUGGCGAUGGCUAAUGGGAAAACCGAAACAACCAAAGAUGUUUAUGUAGGGUGCACAUUAAUACUAAACAACCAUUCAUUUUAAAUAGAUUUGAUGCCAGCAAAUAUUAGGAGUUUUGAUGUGAAUAUCGUCAUGGAUUGGUUAAGCCCCCACCGUGUUGAUAUUAUGUUCCACAAGAAGGCCAUCCGCCUUCACCUCUAAAACCCUAAUAAUCUAUGGUGAUAAACCUGACGUCAAUCUUCGUCUUAUCUCAUGCAUCAAGGCACAGAAGUGCCUGCACAAGUAAAAGUAUUCCUUCCUCGCUCAUGUUGUGGAUAAAGCCAAAGAGGAAGUAAACAUUAAAGACAUCCCAGUGACAUGCGACUUCCCAGAUGUAUUUCCUGAAGAUCUUCAAGGAAUACCCCCAGAAAGACAGGUUGAAUUUCGAAUCGACCUAAUACUAGGAGAUACAUCAAUUACCAAAUCACCCUACAGGUUAGCUCCCGCUGAAAUGCAGGAGUUAUCCAGUCAAUUAAAAGAACUUCUGAACAAAGGAUUCAUCAGGUCAAUCUUCACGUCGUGGGGAGCUCCGGUCUUGUUUGUCAAGAAGAAAGACGGAUCCUUCAAAAUGUGCAUCGACUAUCGGGAGUUGAACAAACUCACUGUCAAACCGCUCCCUCGAAUUGAUGAUCUAUUUGACCAGCCUCAAGGAGCUAGUUAUUUCUCCAAAAUAGAUCUAAGAUCUAGUUAUCAUCAGCUUCGAGUCCGAGAAGAGGACAUUCCAAAAACUGCUUUCCGAACUCGAUACGGCCAUUACAAAUUCGUUGCAAUGCCCUUCGGUCUAACAAAUUCCCCCGUAGCAUUUAUGGACAUCAUGAAUCGAGUUUGCCGUCCAUUCCUCGAUAAUUUCUUAAUCGUCUUCAUCGAUGAUAUUUUCAUAUACUCCUGAAGUAAGGAGGAGCACGAUCAAUAUCUCCAUCAAAUCCUGGAAACUCUAAGAGCUGAAAGGCUAUAUGCGAAACUCUCCAGAUGCGAGUUCUGGAUUUGUAGUGUAAACUUAUUGGGUCAUGUAGUCAGUAAGGAGGGAAUUCAUGUGGAUCCUUCCAAGAUCAAGGCCAUUGAAGGCUGGGCGAUUCCGUAAACACCAACAGAAAUUCGAUAAUUCUUGGGUCUUGCAGGCUACCGGUUUAUUCAGAACUUCUCCAAGAUAGGCAAUCCCCUCACCACUGUAACACAAAAAGGUGUACCUUUCAACUGGACGGACAAGCCAGAAGAUGCAUUCCAAACUUUGAAGCGAGCCUUUGUAGUGCUACAGUGCUAUCCUUACCAGAGGGAACCGAAGAAUUCGUAGUAUAUUGCGAUGCUUCGAACCAAGGGUUAGGCUAUGUCCUCAUCCAGCGUGGAAAGGUGAUAGCUUACGCGUCUAGGAAAAUGAAGACACAUGAAGUGAAUUACACCACCCAUGAUCUCGAACUGGGAUCCGUGGUCUUCGCCCUAAAUAUUUGGAGGCACUACCUCUACGGUACAAAGUGCACCAUCUUCAUGGAUCACAAAAGCCUUCGGCACAUUCUAAAUCAAAAGGAGUUGAACAGGAGGCAGCGAAAGUGGGUUCAGCUGCUAAAUGAUUAUGAAUGCAAGAUCAAGUAACACCCAGGCAAGGAUAGCAUGGUAGCCGAUGCGCUGAGCAGGAAAUAAUACUCAGGUUGCCGGGUGAAAGCAUUAUCGAUAACUAUCCACUCCCACCUAACCUCACAAAUCAACGGAGCUCAGUCAGAGGCAUUGAAGUCGUAGAAUGCCGAAAAUGAAACACUGUGUGGGAUGGAUAAAAACCUUGAUGCUAAAGAUGAUAGAGCAUACUACUUCAUGAAUAGAAGUUGGGUCCCAAAAUUCGGGGGAUUCAGAGACAUAGUCAUGAACGAAGCUCAUAAGACGCGAUAUUCCAUCCAACCAGGUUCUGAUAAAAUGUACCUGGACAUCAAACAACAUUAUUGGUGGCCAAAUAUGAAGGCAGAGAUCGCCACUUAUGUGGGUAAGUGUCUCACUUGUGCCAAAGUUAAAGUGAAAAACCAAAAGCCCUCGGGAUUGCUGCAACAACCUGAAAUUCCCGAGUGGAAUUGGGAAAGGAUUGCAAUGGAUUUCGUAACUAAAAAACUUAAGACAGCGGAUGGAUUGGACGCUAUCUGUGUGAUUGUCGAUAGGUUAACCAAAUGUGCCCAUUUCAUGCCAAUAAAGGAAUCAUACAAGAUGGAAAGAUUAACACGAAUCUAUAUAAAGGAAACUAUGAAACUCCAUGGAGUGCCAAUAUCUAUUAUCUCGGAUCAGGAUAGUAGAUUUACUUCAAGAUUUUGGUAGUCGCUCCAGAAAGCUAUGAGAACACAAUUAGACAUGAGCACUGCUUACCACCCUCAAACCAACGGCCAAAGUGAGCGAACCAUUCAAACACUUGAAGAUAUGCUCCGAGCUUGUGUGAUCGAUUUUGGAAAAUCAUGUGAUACCCACUUACCCUUAAUUGAGUUAUCGUACAACAACAACUAUCACAUGAGCAUAAUGUUUGAUCCUUUUGAGGCUUUGUAUGGUCACAAAUGAAGAUCGCCUCUCUGCUGGGCUGAGGUGGGUGACACCCAGCUGGCAAAAGGGCAAACACCAAAUAACACUCUUACAGGACCCGAGAUUAUUUGGGAAACGACAGAGAAGAUAAUCCAAAUCAAGGCACGACUCCAAGCAUCGCGAUAUCGACAAAAGAGUUAUGCUGAUAAACGACGAAAGCCUCUGGAAUUUCAAGUCGGAGAUCGGGUGCUAUCGAAGGUCUCUCCCUGGAAAGGGAUAAUCCGUUUUGCGAAGCGGGGAAAACUAAAUCCACGAUACAUCGGGCCAUUCGAAAUUCUUUCCCGGAUUGGUCCGGUAGCAUAUAAGUUGUAGCUACCUGUGGAGCUCAGCAACGUACACCCUGUGUUCCACAUUUCAAACCUGAAAAAGUGUUUAUCCAAUGAAACCCUUGUCGUGUCUCUAGAGGAGAUCAAAGUAAACGAAAAUCUUUUAUUCGGUGAAGAGUCUGUUAAGAUAUUGGACAGAGAAGUGAAGCUUACAAAACAGAGUCACAUUCCGAUUGUGAAUGUUCGAUGGAACGCUAAGCACAGACCAUAAUUCACGUGGGAGCGCAAAGACCAGAUGAAGCUAAAGUACCCUCAUUUAUUCUCUCGUUCAUAGUUCUAUCUUUCAAAAGAAUUUCGAGACAAAAUUCCCUCUAAUGGGAGGAUGAUGUCACAACUAGCAUUUUUGGCUAGGAAAUUCUGUCCUCAUGUACUCAACUUUUGUGUAACUUGUAAUCUAAGUUGAUGUUAUGUACUAACGCUCAUUCCAAAAACAACUAUUUGAACCAAAACUAACUCGUGAAGUCCAAAACCUAAUUCAAUUCAUUUCAUACACUCUACUGUGGGUUCAUAACCCUAAUAUCCCGAUUCAAACUCAGAAUGGAUUUGGAUCCUCUUAUUGGGCCUAAUGGGCCAGUAACUUUCAAUUUAGUUAUUUUGGGCAAGCGAGCUCCAUUUAGGCUCUAAAUGGACCUACAUUCAUUAAACCAUAACAUUUCGGGGCAUUUUGGGCCUAAAAUGACUCACUUCAUUUUCAUGGGCUUUAAUGGGCCGUGAACAAUCUUCUUGAACCUAAAUCGGCCGAAAACCCAUUAUGUUCACCCUUUUGGGCCGUAAACCCAUAAGAGGGCAUAAUAGGCCGAAAACUUCCACAUUGAACCUUGUAAAUUCAAGCAUAUUCAAUACUAGCCCAAACAAUUUUUGGGCCGUAAAGUUGAGGUGUCAUGGAUUAAGAACAUGACACCUCAACUUUAACUAAAGGAUUUCCAUGCACAUUACAUAACAUAUAUUUAUGAAAUCUCAUAUAUCUAUGCACAUCACUUUUCAACCUCUCUCUUCUUCUUUUUAUUCUCGGCCAAGACUCAUCACCACCUCUCUUCACUUCAGAUCUCUUCAAACACUCUCUAAGCACAAGAAAUCCUUUCCUUUAUCCUUUCAAAAUUUUGUGAGUUUGUAUGAUUUCAUCAAGAACUCUUCAUCAAAAUCCAUCCAUUCUUGGUAAGCUACUUUCUCUUCAAGGUGUUUAACUUCAUAUUCAUGCUGAACUUACUUCUCUUACACUCCAUUUUCAUGAUCUAUGUUCCUUAGAAACCUCAUCAGCUCGAGAUCUACUCAAGAAAGCUUGCUAGGGCCAAAUUCUCUCCAUUUUCUUCACCAAAACCGAAUUUAACACCCCAAAGUCAAUUCAUACCCCCUAUUUUCGUUUUUUACUAUGUUUUGGGGGAGAAUACAAGUUGUUUUGUGUAGAUCUAUAUGUAUAUGCAUCAUUAUAUGUGUUUUUGAUACAAUUUAUUAUGCAAAGAAAAGGUUUGAAACAUUUCAGGGUUGUUUAAACUAAGAAAAAUCACAUAAGAGGGCCAAAAACGACAAAAUAAUCAAAAAGUGAAGUUAUUAUACAUAAUUCACCAUUUUGAAAAGAUUUAUUUGAAUAAAUAUGGAUCUUUAUGGUAUUUAUGACUUUAGAAAGGCUAAAAGUGUAAACUUUCACAAAUGGGCCUCAUCUUGGGCUUUCAUAGUUUUUAGGCUAAGUUUGUAAAUUUUUGGACUUUUGUGGGCUUAAGUGUCAUUUUAAACAAAGUUGAGCCAAAAAUGUUAUUUUCUGUUAUAAAAGCUGAAAAUGAUAAUUUUAUCGAACUUGGGCCAAAAAGGAAUAAAUUCUAUGCUUUUGGGCCGAAAAUGAGAUUUUGAAAAAGUGGGUUAAAAAUGUUAUUUUAUUUGAAACUAGCCUUAGGUGUAAAAUUUUGGUCCUAAGGGACCUAAAGUGUCAUUUUUACCCAAAUUACGCCUAAGUUGUAAAUUUUUAGUCCACUAGACCAAAGACGUCAAUAUUACAAAAAGUGCCCUUUUUAUGUCAUUUUGGAAAAACAAUUGAACAAGAAUGAACAUUACAAUAACAAACAAGUCAAAUACGCUAAACUCACUUUUAUUGGGCCUGGAAUACACAUUACAUGCUUAUUGGGCCUUAGUUGUUGCUUCGCAUGCGUAUUGGGGCUGGAUUAUACAUUACAUGAUUAAUGGGCCUUAGUUGUCCUUUUUAAAUGCUUAUUGGGCUUGGAAUAUACAUUACAUGCUUCAUGUGCCUUAGUUGUCCUAUUUGCAUGCUUAUUGGGUCUGGAAUAUACAUUACAUGUUUAUGGGCCUUAGUUGUCCUUUUGCAUGCUUAUUGGGCCUGGAAAAUACAUUACAUGCUUAGUGGGCCUUAAUGGUCCUUUUAGAUGUUUGUUGGGCCUCAUACAUUCACAUACUCGUUUGGCUUCGUAAACUUAAAAUAUACAUGGAAACAAUAUAAACUGUGCAAUUUCAUAUUCGCAUAAAUUCACUAUAAAAUUUACGGAAUACAAUUUAUGUUGAUAACACGGUAACAUACACGCACUGGUACUCAAUCUUAGAGUGUUAAGAUCACAAAGUUUUAUAAACUGACAAUAUCAGAUUGUCUGGGAUCAUUCACUUCAUACACUUUCAAACAUUUACACACAUGCAUUAAUACAAGAUCGGACACAAACAUUUCAAACCGUUUUACAGAAAAUAUUGAAUUUUCUGGCAUUUACAAAGUAUUACAAAACAUUUUACUCAAACGUAUUUAUGAACUCACCAACAUUAUAUGUGUUGACGUUUUCAAAUUAACUUGUAUUCUCAGGAAAUCGUUGAGCAGGUUGGUCAGCAAGAAUACCUGGAAUUUUGUUGUGUUUUAUUAUCACCAUACUUUAGAUAUUUUGGCAUGUAAUUUGAAAUACAAUACAUGAUGUAAACAAUGACAGUUGUAAUAUUUCACGUGUGAUGAUGAUGAUGUUUUGUUUCAAUUAUAUACACUGUGAUGAUACUAUAAGAAUGAAGUCACCCAACUCCCGGACGUUUCUGCCGUUUCUCCGGUUCGGGGUUGUGACACCAAACCUGCAACCAAGAAGAAAUAUGCAAAGGGUUCCACGGAGCCUAUUCUCUGGGAAACAACCUAGUUUUUCUCACUAUACCCCAUGAAUUAUGACGAAUCCAUCCGAGUGAUAAUCGAGUUCAUCUCGCAUCACCCCAUUGUUGUUCCUUUUAUUAAAAUUCCAAACCGCAAACUUCCUCUUCACAUUCUUCGCAAAGCUUUUGAGAGAAUCAAUGAUCGAGAAUGAUGUGCUUGAAACUAAACUCACUAAUUACAAGAUUGUUCCUCUGCAAAAGAAAAGUUUUCUCAAAGUUAUUGGUAUUCUAGAAAACCCCAAGGGUUUUCGUGUUCAAGAACCCAUGUCUGAAGAGUUUCAGUCCUUUCUUAAUGAAAUUGGGUACAAUGGUGAAUUUAAGGGAAAGAAGUUCAAGAAGUCAGCUCUCCUGUUCUUUGGAUUCUUUUGAUGUAUCUAAUCCUUCGAGGAUUAUCCAACAAGCAUGGUGGUACUAACACCAUGAGCAAGGACUGAUUGUACGUUAUGUACAACAUCUACUCCAGAAGAAGCAAUGCAAUUGACUUAAGAGAAGUGUUAUGACAGGAUUUUUGGAAGUUUGCCAUCAAAAGGAAGCCUAACGAGAUAUCGAGUCCAAGAUUCCGAGCUCUGACGCUUAAACAAUUGUAUGAAGGAAGACGAGAAUCCAUUCCUCUCAAUUCCGAUGUCAAACAGCUAUAUCUUUCUUUUAAGCCCAUUAAACCUUAUAGGCUUUCGAACUAAGUAGCCUUCGGAUGCGAACAAAGUAGUCUCUACUAGUGGCCGAAAGAAGAAAAUGGCUAAAAGAAAACAUCACCCCCAAAAUUUCAAGCCAAAAAGAGAACCAAAUGCAGUGGAUCCUCUCAAAAGGAAACACAAAGUGGCAUUCGAUUUCACUCUGGAUCACUGCUUACCCCACCCGUCCACUCAUUCGUAGUACCUUUCAGAGUUUCAAUAUCAUACACACACACUCACAGGGAUUCUGCACACAAUCUACCCCUACAUUCCCAAACAACGGUGCAUGUAUUGAAUAUAGUCUCUUAAAGCCCCAUGGGACACACCCAUGAGUCAUUUUAAAAAUCCCUCUGGGUUCAAAACUUGUAAAAUCAGGAUCCCCUGCUUCUGAUUCUAAGUUUUCAGAAGUUGGAGUUGUCCCUCUUAUUUCUAAAGCCCCAACUGGUCUGAUACCUGGUUCAGGUAAAGGACAACCAUGUACUUCUGAUAAAGAUUGGUUUGAUUUUGUAGACAACGAUCAUACACAUCAUCCGGAGCUAACAAGAGCUCAAGUUGAUUAUACGCUUAUGUCAAUGCGUCACAGAGCUAUUCAAAGGAAUCUGUCAUUCACUUUUCCAACUGAUGCAGAAACUGAUCAAGAGUUCACCUAUUCUGAAGAAUUUCAGCAAACCGCUACAAGAUAUGUUCCCAAUCCAAAAAUUGUUUUGGAUGAUCCUCCGCCAAUGUUUACAAGCGAAGAAACUCCCAAGCCUCCCUCCGACGAACAAAAUUCUAAUGAUGUGAUGUUUGAUGAUGACAUCACAUCUGUGGGUGCUAUUCCGAUCCUCACCACUUUCAAGUCAUUACAAAAUACCUCUUCUUCUAAACUGGCAUAUGAUUUCAACCUUUUCUCCUCCUCCUCGGAAGAAGAAGAAUUAAAUGUUGAUGCCAACACUCCAGGAAAUCAAGGCAAUUAAACUGAAACCAAUCUAGCUGAUAAUCCCACUCCUUCAGAACCAUAAGAUGAUGAUGUUGGUGAUGACAAUAAUGAUCGAUCUGAGAUUUCUGCCUUGAACACAUCAUAUUCAUAUGAAAACAUCGCAUAUCCUUCUGCCUUGUUAGAACUCCGAGACAAUGUUGCUAGUGCUUUUUCCAAGGUUAACUCACUCGAAAAGUUUGCAGCUCAACUUGACUCCAAGAUCGAUCAGAAGGUUACCAACCUCGACUCCAAACUUGAACUCAUUCUCAAAUCUCUCUCUGAUAUCAAAAAAGUUGUCACACCCCUAAACCUAAACGGCGGAAACGUUCAGGGGUGGAUGAUGUUAUGUACAGUAUCAUAACAGUUGAGUAAUAGUAAAGAAACAAGCACAAUCAUCAUAAAUAUAAUUUAAAAGGUUACAUUGUUAGCUGAGUUACAUGUUUCCAAAUAAUAUGAUGACAAAAUGAGUGUUUAACUAACACCUUAGCGUUCCAUCCUCAAAAGCUGAUGGUUACCUAUUUUAUUGGUUCCUUGAGAAUACAAGUUGUUUUGAAAAAGUGUCAACAAUUAAGUUGGUGAGUUCAUAAGAAUUUCUAUGAGUAACUGUAAACGUUUCCAUGUAAAGUAAUCGUGUUUAUGUCUUGGAAAUCUGAUAUCGUUCUUCAGACCAAUGCUCCUCGCAUGUUGUAAGUGCUUAACCCUGCUCAGACCCUUUGUGAGGGGAUCUGCUGGGUUCUCCUAUGACGAUACCCUCUUGACUAUGAAGAGUCCCUCUUCUACCUGAUGUUUAAUGAUGUGGUAUUUUCUGUCGAUGUGUUUGGAUCUACCAUGAUCCCUUGGUUCCUUAGUUAAGGCAACCGCUCCUUCAUUAUCACAGAAAAUAUCCAUAGGCUCCUUUAUGGCUGGCACAAAUCCAACGUCUCCAAUGAAGUUCUUUAACCAUAUCGCCUCCUUCGAUGGUUCGCUCACUGCUAUGUACUCUGAUUCGCACGUUGAAUCAGCCACAGUCUCCUACUUGGAACUUUUCCAAGUAACUGCUCCUCCAUUUAGGGUAAAUACCCAGCCCGAAUGAGAGUGGAAGUUAUCUCUAUCGGUCUGAAAGUUAGCGUCACUAUACCCUGUCACUCUCAAGUCAUCACUCCCACCAAGUUUAAGGACCCAGUCCUUAGUCCUUCGCAGGUACUUAAGAAUGUUUUGAAGUGUUGUCCAAUGAGCUCUACUCGAGUUUCCUUGAUAUCGGCUAACCAUGCUCAAUGCUAAAGCCACAUCAGGGCGAGUACAUGUCAUAGUGUACAUGAUCAAGCCAACGGUGGAAGCAUAUGGAAAUCGACUCAUUUCCGCUAUCUCAACAUCGAUACUCGGACUCCGAGUCUUACUCAGCUUGGUAUUGCUUUGGUUUGGCAGUUCCUCUUUCUUGGAAUUCUCCAUGCUAAAAAGUUUCAGCACCUUGUCUAAGUAAGUACAUUGACUAAGUCCUAUUAGUCUCCUACUUCUAUUUCUCAAAAUCCUUAUCCCUAGAAUGUAAGCAGCUUCUCCUAGAUCCUUCAUAGCGAAACACUUCCCAAGCCAAGACUUAACCUCCUGCAAGGUCGGGACGUCGUUUCCUAUGAGUAGUAUGCCAUCAACCUACGUAACUAGAAAGCUAACUAUACUCCCACUGGCCUUGACAUACACACAAGACUCAUCCUCACUUCUUGAAAAUCGAAACUCAUUAAAUUUCCCAUCGAAACAAAGAUUCCAUCUGCGAGAUGCUUGCUUUAAUCCAUAUAUGGAUUUAUCAAGCUUGCACACUCUAUUAGGAUAUUUGGCAUCCACAAAACCCUUUGGCUGACACAUGUAAACAUCUUCAACCAUCUUCCCAUUAAGGAAGGCAGUUUUGACAUCUAUCUACCAAAUUUCAUAAUCAUGAAACACAUUGAUAGCUAACAUAACCCUAAUAGACUUGAUCUUGGCCACUGGUGAGAAUGUCUCAUCAUAGUCAAUCCCCGAGGUUUGAAUAAAGCCCUUUGCAACCAGUCGUACGUUGAGCGUGUGCACUUUCCCAUCCGUGUCGGUCUUCUUCUUGAAGAUCCACUUGCACCCGACCAUCUUACAACCCGGUACAUUGUCAACCAAGUUCCAAACUUGAUUGUCAUACAUGGAUUGAAUAUCAUUGUCCAUUGCCUCCUUCCAUUUUGCAGACUCUGGGCCCGCCAUUGCUUCCUUGUAGUUGUUAGGCUCAUCUAAAUUUAUCACUGUACUAUCACUGAUAAACAUAUCACCUUCAGCAGUUAUAUGGAAACCAUACAACACAGGUGGAACACUAACCUUAUUGGAACGUCUUAGAGGUAAGGACUCGUCAACUGGUUCAACAUGAAUCUCUUCCUCAAGUUUAGCGCUAGUGUCAGAGGUUCCUUCAUUGCUUGAUUCUCGAAGUUAUUCAAGUUCAAUUUUCCUUCCACUAUAAUCUAGGCAUAUGAGUUCUCUUUCGCGGAAAACCCCUCACCUUGCUACGAAGACCACAUUGUCACUAGGUCUGAAGAAAAUAUAUCCAAAAGAUUUCUUUGGGUAGCUGAUGAAAAUACAUUGCUCACUAUGAGGUUCAAGCUUUCCGUGAGUCUUUCGUCUUACGAAAGCCUCGCAACCCCAAACCUUGAUAUGUGCCAACGAGGGAACCUUCCCUAUCCACAUCUCGUGAGGUGUUUUGGCAACCUUUUUAGUUGGGACUAGAUUAAGGAUAUGAGCAGCAGUCUCUAAUUCAUACCCCCAAAUUGAGAUAGGUAACGAAGCUCGACUCAUCAUGGAACGAACCAUGUCCAACAAGGUUCGAUUUCGCCUCUCAGCCACACGAUUGAGUCGCGGUGUCCUAGGCGGCUUCAAUUGUGAAACAAUUCUACAUUCCUUAAGUUAGUCGUGGAACUCGAUACUAAGAUACUCACCACCCCUAUCAGAUCUGAGCAUAUUUAUCUUCUUGCCCAAUUGAUUCUCCAUUUCUUGUUUAAACUCUUUGAACUUUUCAAAGGUUUUCGACUUGUGCGUGAUUAAAUAGAUAUACCCAUAUCUACUAUAAUCGUCAAUGAACAUAACAUAGAAGUGGUUAGCAUCCCUUAUGGUGGAUCUAAAGGGUCUACACACAUCGGUGUGUAUGAGAUCCAACAAUCCCUCACCUCUUUCACAAGUACCAGUAAAAGGUGAUUUAAUCAUCUUUCCAAGUAAAUAAGAUUCGCACGUGUCAUCAGACUUUAAGUCAACUGACUCCAAGACUCCAUCCUUUUGGAGUUGGGCUAUGCGCUUCUUGUUGACAUUGUUGGAUUAAUGUCUAAGUCCAUAACUAUAAUUGGUAAGACUUGACCCGACCCGGCAUGGUCCAUUUGGGUUGCAUACCAUCAUGCACUUGGAUAGACUAUAAUGAGAGAAAUAAGACACUUAUGGUUAUUAAUAUAUUAUAAGUUCUAGUAUAUUAAUAAUAAGAAUAAUAAGAUUAUUUAAUUAGUAUUGAUCAAGAAUUAAUCUAGGAUUAAUUAAGUGAUCAAAAGAAGACUAAUUAAAUAUAUGGGUUGAUUGUGUAAAUCAUCCAUACUUGUAUAGUGGGCUAAUGCUCCAUGGAUAAUCAAGUUGGGCUAAAACCCAUAGGAUGGUCCAUGGAUGCUCCAUGGUGUAUUUGUACCCAUGGAUCCAAGGAAAUGGAAAGCCAUGACAAUUAAGAGUUUACCCUAAUUGUGUAACUAUAUAAGCAUCUUAUUAUUGAGGAAAAAUUGGCCACAAGAGAUAGUGAAGAAAGGGCUAGCCGAUUUUGAUGAGUGUAGAAUUCUCUCAAGUCAUUCCAAGUGUUUUGAUGAUUGUGAUUCCAUUUGAGGUGUCACACUUGGGGCACUAAGCACUCAAGCUUCAUGAAGACUUACUACACCAAAAAGGUAUGUAUUCUAUCCUACUAUAUCCAUUGUUUUAUAUGCUAGAUUAGGAUAAUACCUUGGAAGUUCUUAUUUGCAUGUAUAAUAGAGAAAACAUAGAUCCAAGGUAUUUAGGGUUGCAUGUACACUUAGGAAGUGUUAGAAUGCUAAAAACCUAACAGACAUGUCCAAGAUGACAAUGCCACUAUUGGAUUAAUGUCUAAGUCCAUAACUAUAAUUGGUAAGACUUGACCCGACCCGGCAUGGUCCAUUUGGGUUGCAUGGCAUCAUGCAUUUGGAUAGACUAAAAUGAGAGAAAUAACACUUAAGGUUUGUUAAUAUAUUAUACGUUCUAAUAUAUUAAUAAGAUUAUUUAACUAGUAUUGAUCAAGAAUUAAUCUAGGAUUAAUUAAGUGAUCAAAAGAAGACAAAUUAAAUAUAUGGGUUGAUUGUGUAAAUCAUCCAUACUUAUAUAGUGGGCUAAUGCUCCAUGGAUAAUCAAGUUAGUCUAAAACCCAUAGGAUGCUCCAUGGAUGCUGCAAGGUGUAUUUGAACCCAUGGAUCCAAGGAAAUGGAAAGCCAUGACAAUUAGGGUUUACCCUAAUUGUGACACUAUAUAAAGAUCUUAUAGGUGACAAAAUCGCUACUAUGAGUAAUAGAAAGGGCUAGCCGAUUUUAUGAAGUGUGGAUUUCUCUCUAAGUCAUUCAAUGUGUAUUUGGUGUUGUGUAAACCAUUUGAGGUGUCACACUUGGGGCGCUAGGCAUUCAAGCUUCAUGAAGACAUUAUACAUCAAAGAGGUAUGUAAUUCUAAGUUGAUAUAUUCAUAUGAAUCAAUGUUAUUAUGCUAGUUAGGAUGAAUACCUUGGAAAGUUCAUAUUUUCAUGUAUAGAGAAAACAUACAUCCAAGGUAUUUAGGUUGCAUGUACACUUAGGAGUGUUAGAAUUCUCAAAAUCGAACAGUGGUAUCAGAGCCUAGGCUUGCUUUCUCUUAUACUUGAUGCAAAUGUGUUUUUUUCGAAGUUGAAUCUGUCCAGACCAUAAAACUCGACGAGUUCUUGUAGAAAACUCGACAACUUCAUGUAUUAGAGCAUGAACUCGACGAGUUCCAUGAAGAACUUGACGGGUUUGGUCUCCAGAUAGCAUAUCUUCGUGUUUGGUCUCCAGAUAGCAUAUCUUCGUGUUUCUUGGCUGGAAUUGGACUAGGAACAUUACCCUAAGCUGUUUUUGAACUUGUAAACUUGUUUUUGAUGUGGUAUUGUUCACGCUAAUCCAAUUUCAAAGAUAAUUGUCAAUAGAUUCAUGUUUUGUAUUAGUUUAAAAGUUAUGCUAAUUACAUGGAAUGUUUGAUGUGAAUUAUCUUUGUUCAUAUGAGUUGCUUAGAUUAAUAGAUAAGUUAAUUGGUUAUGUGUUUUCAAUCCAUUUUAAUCUAAGAGUUGAUUCUAAAAUGUGUUUUUGUAACUUGUCCUCAAUUUAUAUGAAAAGUCACAUUUAAGUUUAAUAAAACUCAUAAAAGUUGGCAAUGGUUACAAAAAUGAAGAGUCUUGUCCUCAAGUUAUGGAGGUUCAAGAGUCACUUCAUUAAGUAAUAAAAUGUGUAACCUUAAUUAAUUCCAUAAAUUACAAAAUAAAGAAAAGUUACAUUCUUUUAUUAGUUUAAAGUCUUCCAUAACUUGCCCUCAAAUUAUGGAACUUGAAGAGUUUUUGGAUUAAAACUACUUUAAACACAUAAGCUAUGGAAAUUAAUUAGUUUUGAAUAGUUUCAAAAACUUGCCCUCAAGUUUUGGAAUUUGAAAAUUUUCACUUAUGAAUACUUUAAUUCCAAGUUAGCCCUUAGAAUUUUAAAAGUUAAAAUUCAACCCUUAUACUUUAUAAUAUUAUAAGUUAAUAAUAUAUAUAUGUAUAAGAGUAAAGUCAGUCUUACCGCUAGUACGCCUCAUUCACGAAGCCGGUCUAUAAGGUGGGUAUAAGGUUGUUGCCUAUAAAAUGGCAACUUAAUGGGUGUCCACUCUCACCCACCGCUUGCUUGACUGGUGGAGGGUCGUUAGCCGAACGGGUUUGACAGGACUAGAAUUCUCCCUUCAUUAAAAGUAUUAAUGAUAAAUACUAAGUAACUAAACUCUUAAUAAUACCCAAUCUUAGUUACUUAGGAAAAUGUGAAUAAGGUGCUAAUCCAUGAAAUUACACUUUGCACUUUGUUUAAGUCGGUUAGUGGAGCGUGUGUGGUUAACCGGCACACUAACUCGUAUUUAACAAGGUAGGCAAAGGGUAACUUAAUGUUUAUCAUAGUAUCGAUGGAGCGUGUGUGGUUAACCGGCACAUCGAUUGAGGGGUAAACACUUAAGGGUACCAAGUAAUUUGCAUGGUUACUUCACACCUUGUUUUGUGAUCCUCGGCAUCCCAGUCACAAAACCUGAAGGGCACACUCGAGAUUGAAACAUGCCAUUGAACAGUUCAAUGAAUCUCAAAGAUCUAGGAGUUUCAAAACCAAUUAAAACCUAAUAAUACAUUUCGUUUAUCUUGGUGGAAAUUGGUGAAUCGUCAUUCACCUACCUUCAAAUAUUUUAUAGCUUGGAUUACGGCAUACCUCUUCUAAGUUAUAAAAUAGUUUGUUGGGUCCUAGCCUUAAUAUUUCAUAUUGGGUGUCAUAUUAAGGACUUUAAAUCAACUAUCUUGAAUAUCUCCCAAAAGAUGUCUGGUUUAGACACCUAUGAUCUUCCCAAAUCUCUUGAAACAAGGUUUCCUAAUGAAGAUGAUGUCCCAUGGAUAUCAUACUUCUUCACCUCUUCAAAUUAUUCUCCCUAACCCACAAGUUCUUGAAAAGUUUAAGGUCACUCAGGCCCUAUUGGCAAGGCAAGGUCUAGGUGUGGUCACAUCUUGGAGAUGUAGUCACAUAUUGACAAGCCGGGAGAGUUGGGUGUCAAAGUCUUGAGAAAGUUGGUGGUUCAAUCACUUUCUAAGUCACAUAGUGAGUUCCUUUGGGACACCUAUGAAACAGACUAUGACAAGACCCUUAAUGAUCUUAUCUAUUUGUUAAGAUCAACUUCCUUAAAACUUGAUGGACAUUGACAAUAGUGACACAGGAAAUCCAGAAAAGCAUUCUCUUCCCAAUGGAAAGGGAUCGGCCAUAGUCAACUCGGUUGACCAAAUGGUAAAGAGAAAAGCUAAGUCUGUGAUAGUCCCGUGUACCAUUAUCAAAGGGUCCAUAUGUUUAUAUUGCCAAAGGAAGGGGCAUUGGUUGCGAAGCUGCCAAAUUUACCUAAGGAUGUUAAAGUCAAUAAGUUUGACUCUACUUCAGGUAAAGUCCACUAUCUAACUCUGUUAAGUUUCUAUUCUGAGAUUCUUGAUACAUGAUGUGACUGGGUCACAUGGUGAUGUUUUAAGAAUCAAAGAAAAGUGAAGAAACUUAAAGAAAGAAUAUGCUGAAUCUGAUGGCGUAGAUGGAUUUCUAUCGCAUAGUUUGAAGAUCGGAUUCUUGAGCUACUUCUUAGGAGUUAUGAGAUAUUGCUUAGGAAUAGAUAACAACAAGUUUUCAUAUGGAUUAUAAGGAUAAGUUUUUCCGCAAAGUUUUAAAAUAAAAGGAAAUUUUGAUUUUAUUUAUUUUAUGUAUCCUUACAAUGGCGUUUGUGGAAAAUUGUUGCUUAUAAGAUUCCACUGGUAGAAAUAUUGGAAAGUAAAUUUGAUUCUCUCGUUUGUGGUAAUGUCUAAAUUUACCAAAUAAGGAAAGAUUCUCAUCACCCAAGUUUUAGUUGGAUAGAAACUUGGAAUCAUGCAAGUUGUAUAGCAUGAUGGAUGAGAACUUUCAAGCAUUGGAAAAAAUUAAGACUAACUACUUGUUCACAUGGAUGUGUGAGUCAAGUAAAGGACUAAGGGAUCAAGUACACAUUCUUGUGCACUGGCUAAGUCCACCACAAAAGAUCGAUAAGACUAUUUGUCAUAAUUUACUAUAGCUCAGUAAAUAUUGUUAUACUUACACGUUUAAGUAUAAUUCUGAAACAUUGGAAAAGUUUCAAUGUAAGGUAGAACUAAUAAGAAGAGUCAAAUUAGGCUGAAAGAUAAAAGUUUCUCAAAUCUGAAAAAAUGGGAGAGUACUUUAGUAUCAGGUUUUGUGAUCAUCUUGAUGAUUAAGAAACCAUAUCACAAUUGGACUUCUAAGGACAUCUUAGUGCAUUCUUAUGGCUAAGAAGAGGAGUCAUGAAUUUUUGAAGUGGUUAAAUCAAGAGGAUGAUUCAUACUUUGUUCCAAAAACAAUUCUUAGAGUUAUACUCUAUGAUUGUAACUUGAGUGAUAUGUAUUAAAGAAGGUUAAAACACUUGUCAAAUGUAAGAGUAAAAGUUUUCUACUCUUGUACAUUUGAAAUUGGUAAAUUGUGAUGUUUUGGAUACAACAAAGACCAACUAAGACCAAUUGUGUGAAGUGUUUGUCUUGAUUAGAAUCGACACUAUCUCUUGAAUAUCUGACAAGAAAGUCUUAUAUGUCAAGAGCACAGUGAGAGUCGUAAAGGUCUUGAAAAGAACUAAUCAAGAAUAAAACCUGAAGUUCUUCAAUAGCACACGACUUGAGGUUUACAACCUAUCGUGUUGACAUAUUUUGUGCCCAUUCCAGUUAAAGUUAGCUUUGCAUAUGAGUUCUUAGAGUUCUCAAUUGGUUGCAUAACAACUUGGAAGCAAUGACAGGCCCUUGAGCUGCCAAGUGGCAAGAAAUUAAUAUUGAGUUUAGUCAAUAUGAGUUUGGAUUUGUCAUUAUCCUUGUCUUGUGACUAUGGUUUUGAUAAUUCACAUGGAUAAGAACACAUACACCAUUAAAUCUAAGUUUCAUAAGGUUUCUCUCCGAUUCAUGAAAAAUGAUGGUGAGGAAACACUUUCACUAAGUAGAUUUUAGCUAGAUAACAAUUAUGAUAUUUGCAUUCUCAAAGUCGUUAGUGGAGCGUGUGUGGCUAACCGGCACACUAACAUGGACUUGUGAGAAGUGGCAAAGGUCUAAACAAUCGAGACUAUGAUUACGACAUCCCUUUUCAUAGUUCUUAAAAUUGUUUAGACACACCUGUGAGCUAUCUAAGAUAAGGUGUAUGAUAUUGAUAAAGUUUUAUCAAAGCAAUCUAGUAUCAGAAAUUUGAACUUUGGCAAGAAAGUCAAUAGAAGUUCAGUUGAUUUUUGAGUACAUGUCAAAGCUAGUGGGGGCAUAAGUGUUAUGCUAAUAAUAUCAUGUUAGUGGGAGCAUGAUAAUUAUGAUAAAGGUUGCAAGUUACCAAUGUUAAUUAUAGAAAACAAAAGGUUUCAAUUGGGAAAGAAUUGUUUUGCUAUAAUUAAGGGAGAGGAAAUUAUACUUCAUCUCAAAUCUAAAAGCUUAGAUUGAGGUUUUAAUCGUAUUUAUUCAAGGAUAUAUAUAUGAAUUUUAUGUUGGAAUGGCUCAACAUAAGAAAAUUUUGUAUAUGGGUCCAUUAUUUGCGUUCUAAAAUUCAAUUAUGAUUACGACAUCCCUUUUCAUAAUCUGAAUUAUGAGAACUUGACAAAUAGAAAUGGAAAUGUUAUAGCAAAAGACUGGUUUAGUCUUUAUGUGAGACAUCAUGAAUCGUGUCCCAUAUGCUUCGGAUAUAGGAUCGAUUACAUGUGCUAUAUUCAUCCUUUCUAAAAUUUUCCAAAUGCCUGGGGCAUUAAGAAGGGAAAAGGUCUAGAACUGGAUAUGACUAAAAGGAUUAAGCAAUAGUCGAGGACAAUCUAACGUUUACCAAAGAUUGGUUGCUCAAGGAAAGUUGGAAGUAUAGUGAUAAUUUUGGAAGGACCAUAUUGACAUAAUCUGUAAGGAGGCAACUCUUGUUCAGAAGUGAUAGUCAAAAUGGAAUAUGGAAAUGUUUCAAAGUUAGAAAUUAUUCAAUCUGUGUAAGAUUAGGAAACUUAAUGCAAGAAGGAUGUUUCCAAGGAGUUGAUCUCCUUUGGAAUGCUCUGUAAUGGUUGUUGUCAAGUCUUUCUGACUUUGUGCAUAAUCAUUACAAGAGGAUCAAUGCAUAUAAGUUUAGAAUCUAACAGAUUUCAGUAAAUGGCAUGAAUUUGGAAUUCUUGCAUUUGUAGUAAGGAUUUGGGACUAUCAAAUGAGAAUCAUUGGAAUUAUGUUCAAUCGAUCACUUUCUCAAAGUAAAGAUCAUAGACAAACAUAGUAUGCAUACUUGGUGUAUGGCAUGACUAGUGUUUAAAAAACAUAGUGUACAUGCUCGGAGCAUGGGACAACUAGUGUUUUAAUUCAAGAAUAAAGUUGAUAGCUGAAACAGUAUACAAUGAAUAAUGUGUAAUCAUAUGGUGAUAAAUAAAAGGUGUUUUAUUUAUGUUCAUAGGUUUUGAUACCAUAUUGGAUUCAAUUAUUAUUGUGUUUCACUUUGCAUGUUUUGACUUCCCGAAUAAACUAGGUUAUUCUUCCGGA
rnacentral:lncRNA from 1 species